rnacentral:rRNA from 1 species
GUGGGGAAUAUUGGACAAUGGGGGGAACCCUGAUCCAGCCAUGCCGCGUGUGUGAAGAAGGCCUUUUGGUUGUAAAGCACUUUAAGCGAGGAGGAGGCUACCGAGAUUAAUACUCUUGGAUAGUGGACGUUACUCGCAGAAUAAGCACCGGCUAACUCUGUGCCAGCAGCCGCGGUAAUACAGAGGGUGCAAGCGUUAAUCGGAUUUACUGGGCGUAAAGCGCGCGUAGGUGGCCAAUUAAGUCAAAUGUGAAAUCCCCGAGCUUAACUUGGGAAUUGCAUUGGAUACUGGUUGGCUAGAGUAUGGGAGAGGAUGGUAGAAUUCCAGGUGUAGCGGUGAAAUGCGUAGAGAUCUGGAGGAAUACCGAUGGCGAAGGCAGCCAUCUGGCCUAAUACUGACGCUGAGGUACGAAAGCAUGGGGAGCAAACAGGAUUAGAAACCCGUGUAGUCC